AGUGAACGCUGGCGGUAGGCCUAACACAUGCAAGUCGAACGGCAGCACAGUAAGAGCUUGCUCUUACGGGUGGCGAGUGGCGGACGGGUGAGGAAUACAUCGGAAUCUACUUUUUCGUGGGGGAUAACGUAGGGAAACUUACGCUAAUACCGCAUACGACCUACGGGUGAAAGCAGGGGAUCUUCGGACCUUGCGCGAUUGAAUGAGCCGAUGUCGGAUUAGCUGGUUGGCGGGGUAAAGGCCCACCAAGGCGACGAUCCGUAGCUGGUCUGAGAGGAUGAUCAGCCACACUGGAACUGAGACACGGUCCAGACUCCUACGGGAGGCAGCAGUGGGGAAUAUUGGACAAUGGGCGCAAGCCUGAUCCAGCCAUACCGCGUGGGUGAAGAAGGCCUUCGGGUUGUAAAGCCCUUUUGUUGGGAAAGAAAAGCGGCAGGUUAAUACCCCGCUGUUCUGACGGUACCCAAAGAAUAAGCACCGGCUAACUUCGUG
rnacentral:rRNA from 1 species